CGGGGGUCUGGUGCGGAGGGCCAACUUCUGGGAAUAACCUGGCUGUGGGCUUAAAAAUCGUAGUCAUUCAUUAUCACGGGCUUCUCUCUCUCGAAUACCUUUAACAUUUAUCGCCUUGUUAGUCUCCACAUCCACCUCCGUGAAAGGAAUUCUCAAGGGUCUCUUUGGAGGCUUACCAAGGACAUCCAGCUGCACAGUGAAGGUGGCUUCUCCUGCUCUAUUCUUGGCAACACAUGCAUAAGCCCCUGCAUCUGAAGCUCUGACUACUUCAAAGAUGAGUGAAUGAAGACCCUUCUCAGACACUAUCAUUUUGUGCAAAUCAUCUGAUUGAACUGGUCUUCCAUU
rnacentral:lncRNA from 1 species